UACGUAGGGGGCUAGCGUUGUCCGGAAUCAUUGGGCGUAAAGCGCGUGUAGGCGGCCCGGUAAGUCCGCUGUGAAAGUCAGGGGCUCAACCCUUGAAAGCCGGUGGAUACUGUCGGGCUAGAGUGCGGGAGAGGCGAGUGGAAUUCCUGGUGUAGCGGUGAAAUGCGCAGAUAUCAGGAGGAACACCAAUUGCGAAGGCAGCUCGCUGGAACGUGACUGACGCUGAGACGCGAAAGCGUGGGGAGCAAACAGGAUUAGAUACCCGCGUAGUCC
rnacentral:rRNA from 1 species